ACGGGCCCACCCUAGUCUUCGAUGGAUAGGGGUUCUGAGAGGAAGGUCCCCCACCAUUGGAACUGAGACACGGUCCAAACUCCUACGGGAGGGCAGCAUG
rnacentral:rRNA from 1 species